AGUGGAGGAGGCUGCUGUCUCCAGAAGUUUUUCCACAUUUGUUUCAGCAGACAGAAGAUGAGCAGGAAUUUUGCAUGGGAUCUCAUGAGGAAAAGGAUGAGCUCUUGGGUUUAAACCAGCUGGGAUGUGCCUUAGGAAGGGAUUGAAUCCCUCCUUCCCUACAUGGAAGUGCUGAAUGAUCCCAGAUGGAAUGAAUUCAAUUGGUGCUACACAUGUGAAGUGCUCUGAACGAGGAAAGCAGCAACUUCUUGAAAUGUUCACUUGAACUCUUCUUGGCUGUCUCAAUCUGAGGAACCAGAAUCUAAAGAACCUUCAUCUGCAGGGCUGGCAGGAUGGGAAGAGGUGACACAGGGAAUGCCAAAAUGAUUGAUGGCUUUUCCCCUCACUCCUCAGCAAGGAGAAUGAACAAUGGUCCAUUGAGUAACCACGAAGAACAGAGAGAGCAGAGCAUUUCGGACCACUCAGUGCUGGCACUGCAAGAAGAGAUGGGCGGAAUGAACGGGGGGUGAAGGAGGAGCAGCACAGACCAGGAGCCACCACGGCUUUGGUGGCAGCACCAGCGUCACCUGUGGACUGCAACACCAGCACCCCUGGGAUUUGGGGUUUUGGUGGCUUUAACUGAGGUGGAGCCGUGUUCCACCUGCUGCAAGCUGAGUGUGGGCUGGGGAUGAGCACACAGUGCAACAGCAACAGAGAAAACAAAGCAGAAUUUCAUUUCCUGUAAGAACCAGCAGCUCUGCCCUGUUUGGUGAUGGCUUCUAACAGCCACACUGGAAACAGCAGGAAAAUUACCCUUAGAAAUCCACAGGACCAAACAAAUGCCCUUUAGCAGAGGGGUAAGGCAAAAUUUACCUUUUUUAACUUCCAUUCCUGCGCUCUUCACAUGAAAUCUGAACGCUGACCAGCACGAAAAUGCCAAAGAAACUGGAAUGCUUUAAGUUUGCUUUCUUUCCCGUCUUCAAAAAAAAAAAACCGCAAAAGGCUCUUACCACUUUGUAGCCCUACCAAAAUAAAUGAUUACCAAUAAUGAAAUUGUUCCAUAUCACAUAAACAAUGGCCCCAGGCCUCACUUUUUGGUGGAUGAUUUAUAUCUUAUGGUUCCCUUUGGCAGGGAGAGAAACAGCUCUGGCUCUAUCUCGAGAUAAAAACUAUAAACACAAAUAUCACACAGCAAAGGGCACUCCAAGUUUUGAAGUCCUGAGAGGCACAAUCCCAGUUUUUUCCAUAAUGUCACCUCACCCAGGGGAAACUGUUCCAGUU